AGCACGGAGGCUCUGCCCCGGGAGAGGUGCCGGGAGGCAGGGGGGGUCGUGCAGAAGGCAGCAGGCACGAGCUGCCAGCCGCUCCUCCGACGUUGCGUCACCUGCUGCCACGCGGGUAUCCAUGGGCUGGUCAACUAUCUUAACCUUCUGGGAAUUAUAUGGAUCCUCUUGGACGCCAGGAAGGUCAUGGCUACCGAAGGGGGGUCCUGGAAAUGCAACAGAUUGUACUCCAGGCUGCGCAUAAGUCUCACGAAUACCUGGGGCCGCACUAGCAACCAGCCAGUAUGGCUGUGCCCCUACCCGUACCACGUGCUGGCAGAGCCCAGGCGAUAGUCACUUCCUGGGACAGAUCUGUGCAUUUUCUGUGACGUAACAGGCCCCCAGGAUCAUAUGUGCAUAUAAAAGGGAAUGGGAACCCAAAGAGGACGAUGAUCAGGACAGAGAAUUACAGCAGUAGAAACGGAAACAAACCAGGAGACACAGUCCCAACACCAUGACAGAGAUUUUGUGAAGAGAAUCGUUCGAAAACAAAACUGGCCUCCCUGCGUCUGUGAGAAAACAUUUCAAAAGCUCGUGGGGGGAGGCCAACUUCCUCUAUGCGGAGCCCAUUCAUUCUCCGAAGAGCAGGAGGCAUAAUCAAUCAGACGGCUACGUUGGAGGGGACUCUCCGGGUGACCGCUCCAAGGUGACUUAGCCUGUGUUUCCUCCAUUUGGUCAGAGACGAAAUGGGCCAUUAUUUGGGCAAACACUACAGAAAUCAACUGAGACUCAACUAUUGGUUGCUACAGCACAGAGCUCUACUGCACAAUUACUAACAGUUGACUGCACCCUUAAGUACUGAUAAUGCAAAAAACAGAGUCAUUUCUCAUCAUUGGUAAAGCAUGAGAGGAUCUGAACAGUGAUCUUGAACCAAAGUAUCGUCAGCACGAGAAGGUUACAGUAUUUGGCAUCUGCAAUGUCACAAAAUAAAUAUAUUAUUCUCUCAAUAGUGUGGAACUACCAAAAUGUCAAAGUGCUUAAGAAAUUGUUGCAUGUGAAGAAAAUAAAGAAAGAUGGAUUUUUUUUUUAAUAAUUCUAUACAGAAUCUUCAGAUGAUGGGACCAGCCCAUUUAGAAAUCAGUGACUAUGCUGUCGAUAUGUAAACUGAAAUCUUGCAGGCUUUUCAACACUGCUCAGCUAUAUUUUCUCUAUUGAGUUUCUACAAAAAGACCAGCAUUGGAGGGGUACCAAAUACACGGACAAAAGAGAAAAGGAAGAUGGACUGCUAGGUUUCUUCUUUUAAAAUAUUUCAUAGGAGAAUUGGGUUUCAAGCAGGAAGCCGGGACUUCUACCUCUGGUUCUUAAAUUAACUUUCUGAGUGCAGUGGAAAAUAGGCAUGGAUUUAUAAUUUGACUAUCUCACAUGCUCACACAUGAUCAUACUCAAUUUCUAAAGGCCUCCUUCGCAAAGAAAUUUAUCACAGUGGGGGAGAAAAACAUAAUUCCACCUGUAAACACGGAUUCAAAGAGGAAAUCAAAAUCACACAGGAAGCGUUAAGUUUCCUGUUUGAUACUGUGUUUCAGGGUAAAUGACAGCUUCUGCAAACCAAGACUCAGUCCUGAUUAUAAAGGAUUUUUUAAAAUUACAUUAUUAAAAAUAGGUAUUUCCUCUUCUUUCAUUCUAUCUAUUUCCAAAGCCUCUUUCAAGUAAACUGUGAGGAACCUGAGGACAGGCGACCAUUACGUCACGGCCUUUCCUUUAUCUCAAGCACUCACUGUGUCUGCAUUUGCUCUGCAACCAGUUUCCACAAGAAGGAAUUAGGCAGGACCUCCUUGUGCUUUUCCCUCGCCUUUAAAUCCA